UACGGAGGAUGCGAGCGUUAUCCGGAUUUAUUGGGUUUAAAGGGUGCGUAGGCGGGCUUUUAAGUCAGCGGUAAAAAUUCGGGGCUCAGCCCCGUCCGGCCGUUGAAACUGGGGGCCUUGAGUGGGCGAGAAGAAGGCGGAAUGCGUGGUGUAGCGGUGAAAUGCAUAGAUAUCACGCAGAACCCCGAUUGCGAAGGCAGCCUUCCGGCGCCCUACUGACGCUGAGGCACGAAAGUGCGGGGAUCGAACAGG
rnacentral:rRNA from 1 species